AAGUCGUAACAAGGUUUCCGUAGGUGAACCUGCGGAAGGAUCAUUAACACGAAAUCUACGCCGAUUGGCUUGGCUUAACCGCUGACGCCGUCGGUGUACAUUCACAUCAAUGUUGACUGAGUUUUUCUCCCUAGUAGCUCCGGCCUCGGCUGGCAGCACUCUAGGAUCAUGUCGUGUCCCCUGGCAUUCGAUUGCAAGCCCGGCCUACGAUUCGUCGUCCGCUGGGUGGGGCAUGGCGCCUAUUCAACCACACACCUAACACAUAAAUCGUACUGAAACACGGUCGAUGCAUAACUCGUUAUGAAUCGAUCUGACUUGACUGUAAUGGUCAAAUCAACACAUAUACAACUCUUAACAACGGAUAUCUCGGUUGAC
rnacentral:misc_RNA from 1 species